ACAUGCAUAUAGCAUAGCAUUAAUGCACCAGAUCCCAUUAGAACUUCGCAGUUAAACGCGCUCGGACUAUAGUAGUAUUGGGAUGGGUGACCCCCCGGGUAGUCCUAGUGUUUCACUCC
rnacentral:rRNA from 1 species